rnacentral:lncRNA from 1 species
UGGGUAUUGUUGGGUAUAAAAUUCUCCCCCAGCCGAAGUUCGUGUCAAGAGUGACCCCUCAGGGAUUCUACCGGCGUCUGACCUUCGAUGACAUCUCUCCGACGGUCGAGCCUCCGCAGCAUUCCCACGUUCUGUCGAUGGAUAAAACCCCACCAGCGUCGAUCAGAUUCUUCACGACGGACGGACUCCUAUGGGAGCCGGACUUCAUCCCCGACUCCGACU